AUGGGAUUUGGGCUCCACAUCCUGGUCCUGGCAGCAGUUCUGCAAGGUGCCUGGUCCCAAGUGCAGCUGGUAGAGUCUGGAGGGGAUGUGAAGAAGCCUGGAGACUCUCUGCACCUCUCCUGCAAUGCCUCUGGGUUCACUUUAAGCAGCUCAUACAUGAACUGGGUCCGCCAGGCCCCUGGGAAGGGACUAGACUGGGUGGCUGAAAUCAGCCCUGAUGGAUCCAACCAGAGAUACUCCCCGGCUGUUCAGGGACAAUUCACCAUCUCCAGAGACAACUCCCAGAACAUGCUGUACCUGCAGAUGAGCAGCCUCAAACCCGAGGACACAGCCCUGUAUUACUGUUCCACAGACACAGUGACUCAAACCCUAUUCAUGGCAAUACAAAAUCCCAGCUCAGAUCAUCUUUUCUAA